rnacentral:antisense_RNA from 1 species
AGAUGAAAACCGGGCGGGAUGGCAGCCCCGGGGCCAGGGAUGCGGGAGCCGCCGGGAAGACCCGCGCGCCGCUCGACUCGGAAGGACUCACACCUUCCCCCGACAAAGAAGCGGCCCCACUGUCGACCGAGUGCCCAAGGCAUUGUGGGAGUCAUGAUUCCAAGAUGCCCGCGACGGAAAAUGGAACUUGUCAGCUCCUUGUCAUGGGAGCAUUGUGGACGCCACAACUCAUUCAGCUGCAGUGAAAAGACUGUUGCAUGUCGCUGUGCAGCCUCUUAUCGCCGAGGUCUGGCUUCCGCUGCUGCUGCGCGGCCCCUCCCCCGCCCGCCCAGCCCCACCAGGAAGCCCAGGGCGGACUCGUCGAGCUCCUAAGGCACGCGGCGGCGAGAAAAACGCUCUUCAACUUUCCGCCGGCGCCCUCCCGCGCUUCACCGGGCCCCAGGGUCGCCUGUCAACCGGACAGAGCCCGCAAGGGCGGGUCAUGGGCGGUCGCCCCGCGGCGCCGAGAGCAGGAGGAAGCCGGAGCCCGCGCGGGCGCCGUGGAUCCCCUCGGCCUCCCGUUGGUAUCUUCCAUCUCAUGCGUUCAACAUUGUAACCUCGCGGCGGGCGUGCAGACCGGACGCCCUCCCGCUACUUACUUCUACCGACUGCUGGGCACACCAGUGGGUUCGUUUUGAAAGAGGCCCUUGCACCGGGCUUUGCAAGGAAGCCGGCAAGGUUAGAUUGAAGGUUAGAAGCCGAUUAGACUAGAAUCCUGCGAUCUGGUGAGACUGUCGCCUUAAAAUGCACCAAACAGUUUUUGAACCUGGAGGGCUAACAGGCGGGAAAAACAUCUGCAAGACUGCCACCGUAUAUUUUUCUCAAGUAAUAGGCUAUCCACAGUUUUGGAAUUCCUUAGUGAAACUGUCACACAAGCACAAACACUCACAUGUCAGCUUUCCUUCUAGUUUGUAAAUAAUAUUUGUAAUUUACAAGCCACUGUAUUCCCAACUUUGCACCAUGUGA